ensembl:lncRNA
GGAAAGUUUCCUCUGACGAACUCUACAAGCCAGAAUGUUUCUGAAAAUGAUGUACUUUUUUGCACGAGAGGUGAAGGUCGAGUAAUGCGUCCUCCGAAACAUGAACCACCAAGCCUCACUUCUUACCACCUGCUUGCACCAAUGUGUCGGACAAAACACCAUACAACUGAUGACCAGAGUCAGCCUGCAGGCGCCCGGCCCACCACAAGGAGUCGCUAGGGCGCGAUGAGCCAAGUAAAGCCCCCCCGGCCAAAACCUCCCCUAACCCGGAUGACGCUGGGCCAAUUGUGUGCCGCCAUAUGGGACUCCCGGUCACGGCUGGUUGUGACAUAGCCUGGGAUCGAACACCAGGCUGUAGUGAUGAUGCAACACUGUGAUCCAGUGCCUUAGACCGCUGCACCAGUCAGGCCCUCAUUAUGCUUAAUUCAUUGUUUAAAAAAAAUAGGUAUAUUUUUCUGCAUAUUAGUCCUGAGUGAUUAACCAAAAUGUUGGUUAUUUUUCAUUUUUCUUUUUUUUUGGGGACCGAUGUCAUUUCAAUUAUUUGUAUUCCAUUUCCUUCUGUUUUUUUUCUGUGAGCUCAAUGUGCACAUUGCAUAGUUUUUCUAGCGAUAAAUCAGAUCAAGCCCAGAACUGUGCGAUAUAGUAGGGAGUUGUAGUUUCCAACAGGACAAAAUUCUACAUAGUUUAGUACAGAAAACGUGGUAUUUAAUUACAAUGACCAUAAGCCAUUGUGUGUCGGUGUGUUUCUUUUAUGCCACCUACAUUAGGUUAGUUUUGGGCAGGCAUGGAGAGAAGAGACAGAAUAAUGCGCAAUAGAAAGGGAUAGAAAGCAGUUGCUUCAUGAGGUAUCUGUACCUGAAAAUACAUGAUCUAAGUGAUUGAUAGUUGGUAUUUAGCAGUCAUAAAAGUAUGCCUUAUUUACCUAAUUACUAAAAUAGUGAUUUUGUCAGACAACAUAAGCAGCAGCUCUAUAUAGAUGAGAUGAUGACUUAGAAUGAAAUAAUAAAGUCAUAAAAUAAAACAAAUGUAACAUACCCAACAACUGAAAUAUUUUAUUGAAGUAAUGUGAAUAAAUGAUGGUUAAUAACUGGUACUCAGUAAUGGGCAGUCACUACCAUCAUGGGACUUUUACUAAUUGUAGACCGUCAUUGUAAAUAAUAAUUUGUUCUUAACUGACUUGCCC